UCUCUGACAUGGGAGAUAUCAUAUAACUA
rnacentral:piRNA from 1 species